GACGAACGCUGGCGGCGUGCUUAACACAUGCCAGUCGAACGGAAAGGCCCUGCUUUUGUGGUGUGCUCGAGUGGCGAACGGGUGAGUAACACGUGAGUAACCUGCCCUUGACUUUGGGAUAACUUCAGGAAACUGGGGCUACUACCGGAUAGGAGCUCCUGCUGCAUGGUGGGGGUUGGAAAGUUUCGGCGGUUGGGGAUGGACUCGCGGCUUAUCAGCUUGUUGGUGGGGUAGUGGCUUACCCAGGCUUUGACGGGUAGCCGGCCUGAGAGGGUGACCGGCCACAUUGGGACUGAGAUACGGCCCAGACUCCUACGGGAGGCAGCAGUGGGGAAUAUUGCACAAUGGGCGGAAGCCUGAGGCAGCAACGCCGCGUGCGGGAUGACGGCCUGCGAGUGGUAAACCGCUUGCGCCUGUGACGAAGCGUGAGUGACGGUAAUGGGUAAAGAAGCACCGGCUAACUACGUG
rnacentral:rRNA from 1 species